CGGAAGCUUCUUCUUCUGCGCUGGAUGGUUCCUGAAUGUGACUUUUUUAACCGGAGCCUUUCUUUUUCCUCUCUUUGUAGGCGUCGAUCCGGUUGGCUGGCUCCUGGACUCGAAAGUAUCUUCCGAUUGGCAGGCGGAGUUCUCAUCCGAAUCCCCUUGAAGUGCUUGACGGCAACUAGCGAUGACGUGGUUGAUUUCUUCCAGACCCGCCUUCUCCUGAAGCCAUCACAAGACGUCCUCGGCGGCGAGUAGCGGUGGUUCCGAUGCGGCUGGAGUGGCAAAUCUGGACAGCAUGUCAAUGAUGUUCCUCCUUCACCGAUCUUCGCCGACAGACAGCUGCCGCACGAGACCUUCAAUCAAGCCAGGGAUUACGCGGACUACAUUUUUUACCUCAGCAGGCAGACUCAUCAUUCCAGACAACCAGGCCAGUCAGGACUGCAAAGGACUCUGGAACUAUUGAAUCACUUAGUAUGGUGG